rnacentral:rRNA from 1 species
AAGCGUUGUCCGGAUUUAUUGGGCGUAAAGAGUUCGUAGGCGGUUUGUUAAGUCUGAUGUUAAAGACCGGGGCUCAACCUCGGAAAUGCAUUGGAUACUGGCAGACUGGAGUGCAGUAGAGGCUAGUGGAAUUCCCAGUGUAGCGGUGAAAUGCGUAGAUAUUGGGAAGAACACCGGUGGCGUAGGCGACUAGCUGGGCUGUAACUGACGCUGAGGAACGAAAGCCAGGGGAGCAAAUGGGAUUAGAUACCCCAGUAGUCCUGGCCGUAAACGAUGGAUACUAGGCGUAGUGGGUAUCGACCCCUGCUGUGCCGCAGCUAACGCGAUAAGUAUCCCGCCUGAGUAGUACGGCCGCAAGGUUGAAACUCAAAGGAAUUGACGGGGGCCCGCACAAGCGGUGGAACAUGUGGUUUAAUUCGAAGCAACGCGAAGAACCUUACCAGGGCUUGACAUCUGUGGAAUCUUUCGGAAACGAGAGAGUGCUCGCAAGAGAGCCACAAGACAGGUGGUGCAUGGCUGUCGUCAGCUCGUGUCGUGAGAAUGUUGGGUUAAGUCCCGCAAC